UUUUCGAUUUGCAAUCCCUUGGGCCUAAAUUAAAAUAUUGUUUGUUUGCCCUUUUCCGACCCUAUGUUUUGAAACAGGGUAGGUAGGUAGGUAAAAUAUUUUAUUUUUUUCCCCAAAAAAAUAACUUGGCUCGGUAUAUUAUUUGUCAUGGGUAGGCAGGUAGGUAAAAUAUUUUAUUUUAUAGAUACAAAAUCUGCAUAAUGUCAUUUUUUUUGUCCGUUUGUUUUUGCAAAUAAGUUUUCCGCUGGGACUAUUAGUUUUCAAAAAAAAAAUAUAUAAGAGAUAACUUUGUACUGGUAAGAUAAUGUCCGGGCAGACAUAAAUUACUAGUAGAAAAAGUCCCUAGAGUGUUACAAAUUUCGUGUGUGCCUUUUUUUCCAAUAAAAAUGCUAUAAGACUUAAAACUCAAUUGUCACGUAUUUUGCAUCACAUUUAUAAAUGAUCUGUAUGGAAAACUUGGCGAUUUUACUGCCAGAUAUUCUCCACUUUACAGGGUUUUGUCACUUUUGGUUCAUGUCAGAUAUAAAUAAUUUAGCGGCAUCGUUAACAUAAUCAUUCUGAUAUGCGGAUCACAAAAGGCCAUCCCUACAUAAAAUACAACGUCCGUUUACAAAUUAGUUUGUACACACGUAAAUACUUUUGUAUCAAACGAACUUUUUUGUAAAUGAACCCUGCUCUUUAAGUUUAAAGGUACAGAGUAACGUACUUCAUAUCAUGAUUUCAGAAAGCGUUCAACAUCGAUUUCAAACAAAUGCUUUUGAAACUUCAAAUGCAAGUGUUCAUGUCAAACGCUCAGGUGAUACCAAACGGACUGGACCUUAUACGUAAAGAUAAAACCCGAGGAUUCCGGUAAAAAAGUUUUGAGCGGGAAAUACAAAUAUAA
rnacentral:lncRNA from 1 species